UUUGUAGAGGUAUAAGAUAACACUGCGAAGCUGCUAUCGCGCUGUUCUGAUCCUGUAGUUCUGUGUUGUGCAAUGGACGGCCGUCUAGAGACUGAUUUGUAUCCUAUGGGAUCCGGUUACGCUGCUGAAAUAGACAGUGUCCACGAUAUUACAGUUGGUACAAAGGUAGGCAUUUCUUCAUCUGUUUCUUAUGCUUUUGGGAACUUUUUUUUUAUAGUUUAGUGAAAACCUUUUUUGUUUCAAACACUUCCUGCACUGUUCAUCUCUACAUAUCUGUGGCACUGGCUCUCAAAAUGCACCAGGUACAGGAGGGGUUAGAAUGUGAUACACAUAGUGCAUUACUGAAAUAACUGACACUUUUAGUGGGAAGGUAUAUUAAUUGCUUAGUUUAACUGCUUACGUGGGCGCUUUGUAUCUAUAGUGAAGCAUUUUAAUGGCCAUGACUAAGAAAUUGUUGGAGGAUUUAGGUCUUUAUUGGAACAAAAGGCAGUACUGUUGUGAACUUUAAAGGGCAGAACUGAAUCUGCUCUGUAUUUGAGGGGGUAGCCCCUUGGGCAGUCAUCCUCCCCAAAUCAGGCACAUCUCUCUAUUUUACCACCGGCUCGGGAUGGGAUAGAAGUAUUUUGCUAUUCACAAGCAGAACUCGUGACAGAGCUGGUUUGUCAAUGAAUUGUAAUUUGUUCUUUAGCCUUUGAUACAUCUAAAAAAAUUUGUGCACUUAAGUAUUUGUUCUAGAUUGUAGUAUUGCUAGUUCCUGUUUUAACUCCUAAAUAAGCUUUUGUAUGUAGGUGUCUUGCUGGGUCCAUUUUUUUAAAAAAAAAAAAAAAAAAAAAAAACUUAAAUGGUUAUUUUAAGUGUAGCUGACCAAUCAAUAUCUGAAGAUUUUUAUAGUUUAGGCUAUUUUUGGUGUGGAAAAACACAUGUGGAAAAACAUCUUUUUAGGUAACGGAAAAAUUCAGGGACCAAGCACUAGAUACAUCCUUAUUACUUUCCAGCAGUAACAUUUAUCCUGAUAUAAACUAUUUUCUUUAAGAUGGUCAUGCUGCCAGUUAUACUCUGGCAGUCUGCUCUGUUUGAACGUUAAGCCCUCAGGAGACUUUGCUGCGUAUUUACAGCUCUCUAAGUCUAGCAAAUGAACAAUGCAGUGGGGCACUGUACCGUUCUCUAGUGUAGCCCUUUAUAGAACGGAUAUUAAGACACAAUUGACCUUGUGACUGUCGGGUUUCCUGCACUACAGCUUGUUUUGCACAAAAGCCAGGUUAUUUCCCUAGACUUUUUUUUUUAUUUGUUUGUCACUUGUGUAGUAGUUUAAGCUGGUUCAGUUAUGAACUUUUAGUUCCAAACUCUCCUUCAUUUUGAAGUAAAACUACCUUUUCAAUAGAAAAUAACACUUUUUUAGGGUAUUUCUGUAGAACUUAUGGUUGUAAAUUUCCCACGUUAUGGAGCAAAAACUGUUAAACUGAAUUGACAAGUCUUUGCUUGUGCAAUUGAGUGGAGCUGGGUGCAGCAAGCAUGUGAUCUAGAAGCAUAAACAUGGCUGUUACCAUGGAAACCUUAUUUUGUGUUUUUGGGCAUACUGCUGGGAAUUCCGAGGAUACAUUCCUCUCUGGAGCCCUGAAUGCUGUUCAAAAUCUGCCUUUCUGCUGAGGGUCUGUGACAGGAUGCAACAGACAGGCUUGCACAUGUAGAGCAUGCAGUAUCUACAUCCGCUAGCAUCUCUCAUUGCUAUUGACUGCUGUCACCUGCUCUAACUGCUCGGUGUCUUUAAAAAGCGAACCACUUAUUAAUCAGCCAGUUUUCACAGACCAAUUGGAAUUGAGCAACCUGGAGUACAAUGGCCAAAGCUGCUCUAUAAAUCAAACUGUCUACAGUUCAGAGUUUAAUGUCCUCUACUAGCAAAUGCAGAACAAUGGAAAAAUAUUGUAAUGUGGUCCAGUUUAAAGGGGGAGUGGGUUGCUGUGCUUUUGAGCUUUGGAUUUGAAAUACUGCAUCAUCAUCCAGGUUUGUAUCUACUGCCCUGCGAAAACUCACUAAAUCCUAACCAGGCUAAACAAGAUGUGUUCUGGGAAUGUUUAGUGACACCUUGGACAAAGGACAGGAACUUGAAUAAAAUCGCAACCAGAAUUUAUUUAUUUAUUUUUACACAGAAGAGUUAAUUAGUGAGACUGCAUGGUUCCUGCCUCCCCCUUUUAGAAGCUGUUUGCUUGAGUGAGGGAGCUUAUCAGCGCAGGAAGGGAGUCUCCAUUAUCCUGCACUGUGUGUUUGUGGCCUUUCUCCCUGGUUUGUUACAAGGUUUAUAUUCCAUUUCCUGAGGGAGUAGUCUCUUGCUAUUCACUCAACAGCCAUGAAAAGCACCAAGCGGUUUGUUUGACUUAGGGGGAAUGUGAGCUGUAAUUAUUAAGGAAUGUGAUAUCGGCUUUAAAUUGAAGUCGACAAUCGGUGGCUGUUAAUGCUAAAUCAUUCGUCUAUGGUCUUAAUGUAUGCCAUUAGCAAUUGGGUUUAAAUUACAGUAAAUACAUUUAAGUAUUAUGAUUCUGUGGUGUUUUAUAAAUAUUUGGUGUGAAGGCUGAAAGAAUUGGCUAAUUGCAUUAUUAUUUGAGCUGGUCCCAUGUUUAACGUAGGGGUUGCUUUUGACUGUAGCCUAGGUUGUUUUUUUUAGUGUAGGGUGUAUUCUUCUUUGAAAUAAACAUGACUCCUUUGUUCUCAUGGACCAUUCAGAUCCAUGCUUAUCCUGUUAGUUUGUUGUGGGUGUAGCUUGCAUGAACCCAACACCAUGGUUUCACUGUAAAAUGACCCUGAAGCAGUAGACUUGGCAGCGACUGGAUAUUGUAACCAGGCGUGGCACAGGUUAAUCCUCCAGACCUGCUGGAAAUAUGUUGCUGCCUUUGUUUUGCCCAUGCAAGCUGUAUUUAAAUAGGGGGAGGUGGGAUGGGAUAGGCUAAACUGUACAUAGAUCUGGUCAUUUACCUUUCUGUUAAACAGCCCUGUAAAAACAAGGCAGUCUCUGAGAUAUAAUGGGUGAUGAAUGGGACCUAUUCAUGGUAUGCAAAUAGUUCCAGCCCCCUGUCAACAGACAUGUUCACAGC